rnacentral:tRNA from 1 species
GCCGGUAUAGCUCAGUGGCUAGAGCACCUGUCUAGUAAACAGGAGACCAGGGUUCGAUUCCCUGUUCCGGCU